AUUGAACGCUGGCGGCAGGCCUAACACAUGCAAGUCGAGCGGAUGAAGGGAGCUUGCUCCUGGAUUCAGCGGCGGACGGGUGAGUAAUGCCUAGGAAUCUGCCUGGUAGUGGGGGAUAACGUCCGGAAACGGGCGCUAAUACCGCAUACGUCCUGAGGGAGCAAGUGGGGGAUCUUCGGACCUCACGCUAUCAGAUGAGCCUAGUUCGGAUUAGCUAGUUGGUGGGGUAAAGGCCUACCGAGGCGACGAUCGGUAACUGGUCUGAGAGGGUGAUCAGUCACACUGGAACUGAGACACGGUCCAGGCUCCUACGGGAGGCAGCAGUGGGGAAUAUUGGACAAUGGGCGAAAGCCUGAGCCAGGCAUGCAGCGUGUGUGAAGAAGGGCUUCGGAUUGUAAAGCACUUUAAGUUGGGAGGAAGGACAGUAAGUUAAAACCUUGCUGUUUGGACGUUACCAACAGAAUAAGCACCGGCUAACUUCGU
rnacentral:rRNA from 1 species